CCCUUAGAUGUUCUGGGCCGCACGCGUGCUACACUGACGAAUGCAACGAGCUUAUAACCUUGGCCGAAAGGUCUGGGUAAUCUCCAAAUUUCGUCGUGAUGGGGAUAGAUUAUUGCAAUUAUUAAUCUUCAACGAGGAAUGCCUAGUAAGCGCAAGUCAUCAGCUUGCGUUGAUUACGUCCCUGCCCUUUGUACACACCGCCCGUCGCUCCUACCGAUUGAAUGGUCCGGUGAAGCGCUCGGACCGCGGCCUCUUGACGGUUCGCUGUCGAUUGGCUGUGGGAAGUUCGUUAAACCUUAUCAUUUAGAGGAAGGAGAGGUCGUAACA
rnacentral:rRNA from 1 species